UGAGGAAUAUUGGUCAAUGGGCGAGAGCCUGAACCAGCCAAGUAGCGUGCAGGAAGACGGCCCUAUGGGUUGUAAACUGCUUUUGUGCGGGAAUAAAGCGGGUCACGUGUGGCCCUUUGCAUGUACCGUACGAAUAAGGACCGGCUAAUUCCGUGCCAGCAGCCGCGGUAAUACGGAAGGUCCGGGCGUUAUCCGGAUUUAUUGGGUUUAAAGGGAGCGUAGGCCGUCUCAAAAGCGUGUUGUGAAAUGUCCGGGCUCAACCGGGGCCGUGCAGCGCGAACUGUGAGACUUGAGUGUGCGGAAGGUAUGCGGAAUUCGUGGUGUAGCGGUGAAAUGCAUAGAUAUCACGAAGAACUCCGAUUGCGAAGGCAGCAUGCCGCAGCAUUACUGACGCUGAUGCUCGAAGGUGCGGGUAUCGAACAGG
rnacentral:rRNA from 1 species